rnacentral:rRNA from 1 species
UUGGCCCUCUCAAAAGCCAAUUCCCCGGGGCUGAUUUUUCUAUCGGAAACACGUCAAGCCUCAAGUAAGAUGGAGAGAUUAAAGUGGAGACUGCAUAUGAAGGGUUUUGUGGGGGUAUCUAGUGAUGGGCGCAGUGGGGGGCUUGCUCUCUACUGGGAUGAGAAGCUGCAGGUG